GUAAGUGACGUCGUGAAGGCCCCAGUGCCUCCCUUCUGGAACUGGUCCCGCAUUUGUCUGAACCAUUGUUUCGUACGGAAAGUGCUCGCUGAACCUGCUUAGUAGUUCUCUGUCUACAUUGUAGCUCAAAAGUCUUUUCCAAGCCAUAAAAUAACACGGUGAACCAGGCAUGGCGGCCCACGCCGGUAAUCCAGCACCCCCGGAGGCUGGGCCCAGUUUAGGCAGUUUAGCCAGACCCUAUCUCAAAAUAAAAAGGGCUGGGAAUGUAACUCAGUGCAAAGGCCCCGGGUUCAGUCCCCGGUGCCAAGAAAAAGUUGAGACGAACAAGGAAGAAAACGGUGGUUUUUUGGUAACAAUAUGGUCAUAUGAGUUUAAGAAGCACCCUAUUAUGGUGCCACAAGGAAUAAUGGGAAGGUCCAGCUUGUCUGAUCGCCUAAGUGAGAUUACUGCUUGCCCAAAAGAGAACUUUGCUGAGAGUAACCUUGUAGCUGUGGACUCGGAACCAAGCCCAGCACACCUAAUUCAACUCUGGUCUCCUCCCUGCAGUGCUGUGGGCUCUGGGGGUACAGGACUUGGGUGGAUGUGGGUAGUAGCAAGCCUCCAGCGUGCCUGGGUCUGCUGUGACCCUGUGCAUUCCUACAGUGCUUGCUAGAACAGUUUUGAAACGGUUUGAGGCCUUGCCCUGCUCUAUCCAGAGCAAGGUUAUAGAAAUUUCAGACAAUUCUCUGCUCCUUCUGGAUCUGGUGUGUCUCAGUGUGGCAGCCACUUGCCACAUAUGGUGAAGUUAAAGCAAAUAACACGUAAAAUCCGCGUUAUUGUCCACAUAGCCACCCACAUCUUAGGUGUUCAGCAGCCAUGUGUGGCAAGUGACUGGUGUAGAUGGGAGGGACAUAGCUGUCUUUGUAGAUGUUUUGGGCGGGGUCGGCACACAAGCACAGGAAGUUGUUGAGUGUUUACUGGGCUUGGGGCAGAUUUUAUUGUAUCCUUAAAACAAGCUUUACAAGGCCUUGAAAUGAAGCUGGGGGUGGGAGCGGUAAAAGUGGGAGUAGAACCAGAGUAGCAAAGUACAAGAGCAAAGAGCUCUGCCUGAGGUUGGUGGCAAGCAGCCUUUAAAGCCAGACGGCAGAGCAAGAAAACCUUGGCCCCGUUCUGCAGGGCCUGAGUGCUGGGAGCUAGGUUUUUGAGGCAUCUCUAUAAAGUGGUUUUGGGUCUGAGGGACAUGAGCCCACAGUCAGAACAGGAUGCCAGGCAUGGGAGGAAUCUAGAAGGGGAGGGAACUUCCGGUUGGAGGGAAACACCCUUGCAUUCUGGCCCUGGUGCAGGGCUGUUGCGGGUGGUAAGGGAUGGGCUGGCUUGGAAGGUGACAGCACAGGCCCCUUGUCCCUGUGGGUUACUGUCUCCCUUGAAGGUCGGAGCUCCCAGCUAACUUUCAGUCUCUUCAGCUUCAGGAACAGCCGCUGGGUCUGGCACCAUCGACACCUUCUCCAAGUCUCGUGUUUCUGCCAUCGGAAGGCGAUGUGGAUACAGAAGACGCCAGCAGUCACCAAGCGAGGAGGGAGCAGCACUCGCACCUUAACUGAGCAGAUUGAAGCUCACUUGCUCCGAGUGCAGAAGGUAUCAGCAGUUCCAGGUUGGUGUGAGUGUCUUGGGCCCACGUUCUCUGCUCCGGAAUAUGGAGCCUGGCUGUGCCUCAGCCUUUCUGGCAUUUCCUGGAUGAAAGGGCAUUUAAUAAAUAUGACUUUGAAUGUG
ensembl:lncRNA